GGGGUCACUUCAGGUCACACAGGGGUCACACAGGGGUUACACUGGGGUCACACACAGGGGUCACUUCAGGUCACCCUUUGGGGUCACACAUUGGGGUCACACAGGGGUCACACAGGGGUCACACAGGGGUCACACACAGGGGUCACUUCAGGUCACAUCGGGGUCACCCAUUGGGGUCAACAUUGGGGUCACAGAUUGGGGUCCCAUUGGGGUCACACUGGGGUCAACAUUGGGGUCCCAUUGGGGUCACACUGAGGUCAACAUUGGGGUC
rnacentral:lncRNA from 1 species